UGGGGAAUUUUGGACAAUGGGCGAAAGCCUGAUCCAGCAAUGCCGCGUGUGUGAAGAAGGCCUUCGGGUUGUAAAGCACUUUUGUCCGGAAAGAAAUCCUUGGCUCUAAUACAGUCGGGGGAUGACGGUACCGGAAGAAUAAGCACCGGCUAACUACGUGCCAGCAGCCGCGGUAAUACGUAGGGUGCAAGCGUUAAUCGGAAUUACUGGGCGUAGAGCGUGCGCAGGCGGUUUGCUAAGACCGAUGUGAAAUCCCCGGGCUCAACCUGGGAACUGCAUUGGUGACUGGCAGGCUAGAGUAUGGCAGAGGGGGGUAGAAUUCCACGUGUAGCAGUGAAAUGCGUAGAGAUGUGGAGGAAUACCGAUGGCGAAGGCAGCCCCCUGGGCCAAUACUGACGCUCAUGCACGAAAGCGUGGGGAGCAAACAGGAUUAGAUACCCUGGUAGUCCACGCCCUAAACGAUGUCAACUAGUUGUUGGGGAUUCAUUUCCUUAGUAACGUAGCUAACGCGUGAAGUUGACCGCCUGGGGAGUACGGUCGCAAGAUUAAAACUCAAAUGAAUUGAC
rnacentral:rRNA from 1 species